rnacentral:rRNA from 1 species
CCUACGGGAGGCUGCAGUGAGGAAUAUUGGUCAAUGGGCGCGAGCCUGAACCAGCCAAGUAGCGUGAAGGAUGACUGCCCUACGGGUUGUAAACUUCUUUUAUAAAGGAAUAAAGUGAGGCACGUGUGCCUUUUUGUAUGUACUUUAUGAAUAAGGAUCGGCUAACUCCGUGCCAGCAGCCGCGGUAAUACGGAGGAUCCGAGCGUUAUCCGGCUUUAUUGGGUUUAAAGGGAGCGUAGACGGCAGCGCAAGUCUGGAGUGAAAUGCCGGGGCCCAACCCCGGAACUGCUUUGGAAACUGUGCAGCUGGAGUGCAGGAGAGGUAAGCGGAAUUCCUAGUGUAGCGGUGAAAGGCGUAGAUAUCACGAAGAACUCCGAUUGCGAAGGCAGCUUACUAAACUGCCACUGACAUUGAUGCUCGAAAGUGUGGGUAUCAAACAGGAUUAGAUACCCCUGUAGUC